rnacentral:rRNA from 1 species
UACGUAGGGUGCGAGCGUUGUCCGGAAUUAUUGGGCGUAAAGGGCUCGUAGGCGGUUUGUCGCGUCGGGAGUGAAAACCCAGGGCUUAACCCUGGGCUGGCUUCCGAUACGGGCAGACUAGAGGUAUGCAGGGGAGAACGGAAUUCCUGGUGUAGCGGUGGAAAAUGCGCAGAUAUCAGGAGGAACACCGGUGGCGAAGGCGGUUCUCUGGGCAUUACCUGACGCUGAGGAGCGAAAGUGUGGGGAGCGAACAGG